AGUCGCGACGUAGUUUGAGUCCUGGCUCGAGGACGACGCUGGCGGCGUGCUUAACACAUGCAAGUCGAACGAAGCUUGAUUACGGAUUCUUCGGAUGGAGUAUGAUAUGACUUAGUGGCGGACGGGUGAGUAACGCGUGAGUAACCUGCCUUUCAGAGUGGAAUAACGUUUGGAAACGAACGCUAAUACCGCAUAACAUUACGAGGCCGCAUGACCAUGUAAUCAAAGAUUUUAUCGCUGAAAGAUGGACUCGCGUCUGAUUAGCUAGUUGGUGAGGUAACGGCCCACCAAGGCGACGAUCAGUAGCCGGACUGAGAGGAUGAACGGCCACAUUGGGACUGAGAUACGGCCCAGACUCCUACGGGAGGCAGCAGUGGGGAAUAUUGGGCAAUGGGGGAAACCCUGACCCAGCAACGCCGCGUGAAGGAAGAAGGCCUUCGGGUUGUAAACUUCUUUUACCAGGGACGAAUACGUGACGGUACCUGGAGAAAAAGCAACGGCUAACUACGUG
rnacentral:rRNA from 1 species